GAAGUUCGCCAGGCAACCGCUGAUCACGCAAGUGGUUGGAGGAAAGUCCGGGCCCCACAGGGCGGAAUGCCGGCUAACGGCCGGGCGCUAUAAGUUCUGCGGCGCAAGCCGCCGGACCCAAGGCGACAGACAGUGCAACAGAAAGAUACCGCCUAAGCCCGACGUUGACGCCCGCAAGGGCGGCAAAGUCUUUUUCUGAAGAGCAGCUUGCUGCGAUGAGGGAAAAAAAGGGCCGGUAAGGGUGAAAUGGUGGCGUGCCGCAAGGUACGUCAAGGCCGCGCAAGCGACCUUGAGGUAAGAGCCCACCGCGGACGUGGUAACACGGACGGCACGGCAAACCUCAUUCGGGGCAAGGCCAAAUAGGGGAGUAAUGGCGUGGCCCGCGUCGCUCCCGGGUAGGCUGCUAGAGGCCGUCGGUAACGGCGGUCCCAGAGGAAUGGUUGCCCACGACAGAACCCGGCUUAUCGGCGGACUUCCCAC
rnacentral:RNase_P_RNA from 1 species